UACGGAGGAUCCAAGCGUUAUCCGGAAUCAUUGGGUUUAAAGGGUCCGUAGGCGGGCCAUUAAGUCAGGGGUGAAAGUCUGCAGCUCAACUGUAGAAUUGCCCUUGAUACUGGUGGCUUCUGUGUAUAGUGAAGUAACUAGAAUAUGUAGUGUAGCGGUGAAAUGCAUAGAUAUUACAUAGAAUACCGAUUGCGAAGGCA
rnacentral:rRNA from 1 species